GAUGAACGCUGGCGGCGUGCCUAAUACAUGCAAGUCGAGCGAACGGACGAGAAGCUUGCUUCUCUGAUGUUAGCGGCGGACGGGCGAGUAACACGUGGAUAACCUACCUAUAAGACUGGGAUAACUUCGGGAAACCGGAGCUAAUACCGGAUAAUAUUUUGAACCGCAUGGUUCAAAAGUGAAAGACGGUCUUGCUGUCACUUAUAGAUGGAUCCGCGCUGCAUUAGCUAGUUGGUAAUGUAACGGCUUACCAAGGCAACGAUGCAUAGCCGACCUGAGAGGGUGAUCGGCCACACUGGAACUGAGACACGGUCCAGACUCCUACGGGAGGCAGCAGUAGGGAAUCUUCCGCAAUGGGCGAAAGCCUGACGGAGCAACGCCGCGUGAGUGAUGAAGGUCUUCGGAUCGUAAAACUCUGUUAUUAGGGAAGAACAUAUGUGUAAGUAACUGUGCACAUCUUGACGGUACCUAAUCAGAAAGCCACGGCUAACUACGUG
rnacentral:rRNA from 1 species